rnacentral:rRNA from 1 species
GACGAACGCUGGCGGCGUGCUUAACACAUGCAAGUCGAACGGAAAGGCCCUUCGGGGCACUCGAGUGGCGAACGGGUGAGUAACACGUGGGUGAUCUGCCCUGCACUUUGGGAUAAGCCUGGGAAACUGGGUCUAAUACCGAAUAGGACCACGCGCUUCAUGGUGUGUGGUGGAAAGCUUUUGCGGUGUGGGAUGGGCCCGCGGCCUAUCAGCUUGUUGGUGGGGUAAUGGCCUACCAAGGCGACGACGGGUAGCCGGCCUGAGAGGGUGACCGGCCACACUGGGACUGAGAUACGGCCCAGACUCCUACGGGAGGCAGCAGUGGGGAAUAUUGCACAAUGGGCGCAAGCCUGAUGCAGCGACGCCGCGUGAGGGAUGACGGCCUUCGGGUUGUAAACCUCUUUCACCAGGGACGAAGCGUAAGUGACGGUACCUGGAGAAGAAGCACCGGCCAACUACGUG